AGUGAACGCUGGCGGCGUGCUUAACACAUGCAAGUCGAACGAGAACGGGUUAUAGCUUGCUAUAAUUGUCAGCUAAGUGGCGCACGGGUGAGUAAUGUAUAGGUAAUAUGCCUCUUACUAAGGGAUAACAAAUGGAAACGUUUGCUAAUACCUUAUACUCCUUAUUAACAUAAGUUAAUAAGGGAAAGAUUUAUCGGUAAGAGAUUAGCCUGUAUUGUAUCAGUUAGUUGGUGGGGUAAUGGCUUACCAAGACUAUGACACAUAACUGGUUUGAGAGGAUGAUCAGUCACACUGGAACUGAGACACGGUCCAGACUCCUACGGGAGGCAGCAGUGGGGAAUAUUGCACAAUGGACGAAAGUCUGAUGCAGCAACGCCGCGUGGAGGAUGACACAUUUCGGUGCGUAAACUCCUUUUAUAUGAGAAGAUAAUGACGGUAUUAUAUGAAUAAGCACCGGCUAACUCCGUGCCAGCCACCGCCGUAA
rnacentral:rRNA from 1 species